ACGAAAGUCUUACAGGUCUAGAACGACAUGAGGGUGAGUAAUUAAUGACAGAAUUUUCAUUUUUGGGUGAACUAUCCCUUUAAUUCGCUCGUCCGGCUGUAAAAUAUUGUCAUCCAAACCCAUGUUUUAUGCCUUUAACUUUUUCUUUCAGUGUUUCACAAUUACCUGGAAAUUUUGUGGCUUGGCAUUCAGCUCUCUGUCUAACACCGACGUUAUUUGCGAUGUGAUAACUUCCUUGCUCUGUUUAAUCAUCGUGCUGAGGGAACGACGAGACAAGAUGUAUGGCGUUCAGUCUCGUUUUGCAAGAACAGAAGGUCAUCUGAGGAUACAGAGGAUACAGUUAUAAUCCAGUGUAUAUAUGCACUCAGCAUGUGUUUUUCUUUGCAGCUCCUGUGUACAUAUUCAUCUAUCAACCACCAGAGAGCUGGGUAAUCAAUUGUAAGUGAUAUUAUUCGCCCACACACUCACCAGAGCACCAUCCAACCUCUGACAGACCUUAAACAACCUCAGUCAGCGAGCUGUGUGAGAUAAACUCCGGGCCCAGACACUGAAUGACACCAGCCCUUCACAGACACACACUUGCACUGCCUCCUCCGCAACUUGAGGAGAAAGAGAGAGCCAGUUGCUAGGAGACGCGGCCUCCAGUGCAAACACAGAGCCAUCUGUCUGUGUAAAGAGGAGACGUAGGGCAACUGAAAGGCUGGCACACUCCCUGGAACAACAGAGGAAUGGAGAGCAGCCACCAUCUUGUAUUUUAAGCUCCUCCAUAUUGAAAUAAUGCUCUUUUUGUUAGCGUGAGCCCACAUCUGGAUUUUUACAGUGUUGAAGCCCCACUCCACUUUCGUUGUAUGGAAAAGAGCGGCGUGGACAGGCUAGAUAUCUCCUUUUGUGUUCUACAAAAAGACAAAACAUUGUGAUUGGAACAACAUGAAGGUGAGUAAAUGGCUGAAUUUUAUUUUUGAGUGUACCGUCUCUUUAAAAUCAGUGUGCAGUUAUGAAAAGUGCCUAGAAAAAUAAAAACAUAAAGCAAAUCAAUCAAUAUUUCAGUUUUAUUGACAUUUUAUAUCAAUGUUGAUGGGAGUCCCAAUAAUAUCAUAAUCCUCUCAUCAUCCAUUUAUAAAAUACACAACAGUUGAAACUUCUUCCUGGAAUACAAAAGUAGUAAAUUUUGGUGUCCAGACAUAAAGCGAUAACAAAUGCAACAACUUAGUCCCUGACACAGAUGAAAAUCAGUUAUGGUGAAUAAAUACAUUUAUGCACAUUACCACGUGUCAAUUAAAAUUUUGUGUCAAUUAAAUGCGUCGAGAAGCUUGUUUUUCCACUAUACACAACCCGACAUGCUACCAUUCUCUGCACCCAAGCAAAAAAGCGUUUUUUGUUAGGUCAACUCAUUUACAGUUGGGUCUUUGGUGAUUUUUGGAGACAGUGAAGUGUCAUUUAGUUGUCUUGGGCACAAAGGAGCUAUGAUUAAUAGUAUUUUUAAUUUAGAUAACCCAAUGGAUAGGCAGUGUACGGUCUCAUCUUAUGUCCUUAUUCCCUAAAGAGUCCAUUAACACGCAAGAACAGUCAGUACAUAUUAACAGCGUGAAACUGGGACCAGCACAAACUGUUGGAACAUGAAACACAGACACAAAGAUGUCCGGAUAAAACACCUUGUGAACUGCUUUACACAAAGGUUUACAUUCACGUAAUUAUGUGCACGUUUCAUCUAAAAUCAGUCAGAUGGUCAUUUUAUGCGAAAAGCAUGUCUGUAAAGUUCAAUUUACCCUUCUUAAAGGGAUAGUUUACCCAAAAAUGAAAAUUCUGUCAUCAUUUACUCACCCUCAAGUUGUUCCAAACCUGUUUAAAUUUGGAAGUCAAUGGUGCCACACAACUGUCUGGAUACAAACAUUUUUCAAAAUAUCUUCCUUUGUGUUCAGCAGAACAAAGAAAUUUAUACAGGUUUGGAACAACUUGCGGGUAUGGAAGCUUAUAAACUCGCAAUUGCGAGUUAUAAAGUCAGAAUUGUGUGAUAUAAAGUUGCAAUUGUGUGUUAUAAAGUCAGAAUUGUGAGAUAUAAACUCGCAAUUCUGACUUUUUUUCUCAGAAUUUUGAGUUUAAAUCUCACAAUUCUGACUAUAACAUGCAAUUUUGAGUUAUAAAAUCAGAAUUUUAUUAUAAGUUAUAAAGUCCGAAUUGUGAGAUAUAAACUCGCAACUCGCAAUUAGACUUUAUAUCUCACAAUUCUGAGAAAAGAAGUCAGAAUUGCGAGAUAUAAACUUGCAAUUGCGAGAAAAAAAGGCAGAAUUGCGAGUUGGAAAUCAUUGAGCAUUGUUAAUACUUUUUGUAUGUAAUACGUCACUCUGUUCUUCCGUCAAUAAAAAUCUUAAUAAAAAAAAGAAUUGCGAGUUUAUAUUUCGCAGUUCUGACUUCAUUUCUAACAAUUAUGAGUUUAUAUCUCACAGUUGUGAGAAAAGAAGUCAGAAUUGCAAGAUGUAUACUCGCAAUUGUGAGAAAAAAGUCAAAAUUGUGAGAUAAAAAGUCGCAAUUAUCUUUUUUUCUUUUUUGAAAUUCAGUAGCGGAAACAAGCUUCCAUAUGAGGGUGAGUAAAUGACGACAGAAUAUUCAUUUCUGGGUGAACUGUCCCUUUAAGAUGCGGUCACAUUAGUGAUAUUUCAGCAAAAUUUCGCAGUCAAAAAGAGACCAUUGUCUUUUACCAACAGCAUAGCGAUGUAUGAAACAGAUCAAAGUCAAUUUCAAACCAAGCAGUUUUCUGUUGGUCAGCGCAGUGAAUUCGCAUGACCAACUUGAACACAAGGGAACUUUUUCGUCCUCACGUGAAACCCAAAGAUAUGGAUUGAAAUGACUGGAUUUUGUCUGCAAAAUUUCGCCGAGCAACAGUAAAUGUGACCGCACCUUUAGAUGGUUUAAAGGAAUAGUUCUCUUAAUGUAUUCUCAUUUUUGGGUGAACUACUCCUUUAAGCCCUCUGUGUUGGUCCGUCAGAGCUCCAUUCAGAGAUCUCUCAAUGCCAAGUCUCCUCGCUGGCACAGAUGACGCUAACCUCAGCUGAAUUCGGAUAGGUCAGCCUGGUAGUUUUCUCACUGACACCAAGUGGAGAAAGCCCCAUCAGCUCGGCGAACUCGUGACCCUGAUCCUGCCAAGCACAACGUGCCCUCCGAGCCCUGCCUUAUGUCAUAUACGUGUAUGAAUAGAGCCGCUUGUAGCAUAAACAGUCGGGCUGAGAUGAGCGUGAGAUGCGGUAUGCUGUUGUUUUUACACACAUAUGUCUGUACACCUUGUGUAUGCAUUCAUGUAUCUCAGUGUGCUCCCAUGUGCCAGGGCGGACACACACACAUGCGCGCUCUCUCCUCCAGACACACAAAGCCCCCCGGGGCGGCCCGCUCUCCUGAUUUCGGUCCAGCUUGGGGCGUGUGUGUCAGCAGGAGAUGGAGGGUAGAAGAG